rnacentral:rRNA from 1 species
AAAGGAAUUAAGGGCGUACAG